rnacentral:rRNA from 1 species
AUUGAACGCUGGCGGCAUGCUUUACACAUGCAAGUCGAACGGUAACAGGCCUUCGGGUGCUGACGAGUGGCGAACGGGUGAGUAAUGCAUCGGAACGUACCCAGAGGUGGGGGAUAACGCAGCGAAAGCUGUGCUAAUACCGCAUGUGAUCUGAGGAUGAAAGCGGGGGACCGAGCAGCAAUGUUUGGCCUCGCGCCUUUGGAGCGGCCGAUGUCGGAUUAGCUAGUUGGUGGGGUAAAGGCCUACCAAGGCGACGAUCCGUAGCUGGUCUGAGAGGACGACCAGCCACACUGGGACUGAGACACGGCCCAGACUCCUACGGGAGGCAGCAGUGGGGAAUUUUGGACAAUGGGCGCAAGCCUGAUCCAGCAAUGCCGCGUGCGGGAAGAAGGCCUUCGGGUUGUAAACCGCUUCUGGCAGGAACGAAACGGUGUCCGCUAAUACCGGGCGCUAAUGACGGUACCUGCAGAAUAAGCACCGGCUAACUACGUG